CCUGGGGGGCCUUGUAAGUCAUUCUCAGAGCAGUGGGAGGCCACUGAUAGAUUUUAAGCAGGAAAUAACAUGAUGUGAUUUUCAUUUUCAAAGAUGACUCUUGCUGCUAUGUGAAGAAGGGGUUAUGGGAGCAAGAGUGGAAGCCAGCAACAAGAUGUGUCAGGCGGCCAGUGGAAGCGCCCAGGGAAUUUGAAAGGUCACUGGCAAGGCUGGUUAAAAACAAACCAGUGUCAGCAAACUCUGCCAUGACUCCUACAGCUCACAGGAAGGCUUGGAUCACCCUCGUUGCUCGGUAAAGAGGAGGUCAUGGCAGCAAGAGCAGAAGUGAAAAGAUGUGUCGGGCGGCCAGUGGAAGCGCCCAGGUGAGAGGUGGAGGCACCCGGGGCUUCGGUGUGGCAGUGAAGAUGGCUGUGGAUGCUGAAGGACACUCUGCUGGGGAAAAAAGGGACUUGGCAGUUAACAAUCACCCAGGCUUCUCUUCUCUUCUUUUUUUUCCCCCUUUAUGCUUAACUGUUUAAGCUACUGCAGAAAGACUUAAAAAUGAAAGAAGGUAGGAACAUAAAAUGGUAAAAUGGUGCAACUUCUUCGUGAAACAGUUUGGCAUUUCCUCAAACACUUAAACACAGAAUUCAUAUGGCCCUGCAGUCCCACUCAUAGGUGCAUCCCCAAGAGAACUGGAAACCUGCGCCCUCACAAACACCUACACGCAUGUUCACAGCAGCAUUGUUCAAAGAGCCAAAAAGUGGAAACAACGUGCACAUCUACUGAGGAAUGAGCUUACAUGAACAGUGCUAUGUCCAUACCAUCACACAUUAAAAGGAAUAUGGUUCUGACACGCUACAAUGUGGAUGAACUUGAACAUUAUGCAAACUGAAGAAUCCAGUUUCAAAGAUCACAUACUGUAUAAUUCCAUUUGUAUGAAAUGUCCAGAGCAGGCAAAUAGAGAGAGACAAAGUAGAAGAGUGGCUGCCUUGGGCUGGAUGGAAAUGGGUUGUGGUAAGUGGGGCAUGACUGCUAAAAGGUAUGGGGUUUCUUUUGGGGGUGAUGAAAAUAUUCUGGAAUUAUAUAGUGGUGAUGGUUGCACAACUCUGAAUAUACUAAAAACCAUUGAAUUGUACAUUUUAAAUGGGUAAAUUGUAGGUUGUACGGCUAUCUUAAUAAACCGUUAAAAAAUGGAAGAAGGCUGCACUCACCAAAAGGAAUCACAAAGAAGAGAGAAGCAUAUACAUAACUUUUGCUAGUUUAAAACAAUUCUGCCCCUGAGAUCAGGAGUCCUUUGUGUUGUCAGAGGGAAUGGCUGAUAGGAACAUGAUGAUCUCUUGCCCAUGUGAGCAGUGAAUUGGGACUUAGAGGACAGCCCUUUAAGCCCUGGAUUCACCUGUCAGUGUAGGAAUCUCUCAAAUCCUGCUCUUCUACAGGCAGAAGCCCCUACCCUGCUGACAAAGCAGGAAGCAGAAGCCCAAGCAAUGUAGCCCAUUCUGGUUUGUCUUCUGUAAGAGCCGUGUCAUGUUACGACAGGGCGAGGACUCCGCCGCCUGGGCCUGUGUGGGGGACACUCACCAGUAAAAUGGCUUUGGACAGCCUUCAGCAGCCCCACUGCACCUGCACUGCACCUGCAGUCUGCUGGGGCCUGCAAGCACCAGCUGUGAACAGGAGAGGUGGCUGGGCUGGCUGUUUGUGCACUUUGAUUUAUAAAGGGCCCAGAUGAAAGUUAAUGGAGCAAAGGUUUAAGGACAGUGCUUGAGGCUUUGAGAGCGAUAAAAGGGAAUGCAGACCCAGACACCCACAUGCAGUUCUGGGGUAAUCCCUCCUCCUUCUGCUGACCCAGAAGGCCAAGGGUUGAGUGUGACCUGGGAAACCCCCAUGCUCUGUGCCUUGUUCCCCCUUUUGUCUACCUGUACCUGAUGGGUAUCUCUGCUAUGCUGAAUGCAGUGGCUGGGCACACACAAUGGCAGCCCCUGUGGAUGUGAGUACAGUCAAGGGCUGGUCCCCAGGAACCCAUCUCUGCUCUGGCCUGGAAUGUGUUUACAGAUAUAGCCAGGACCCCAGAGUCAGGUGCAGCACCCACUGCUCAGACAAAAGUGAGGAAAAAUUGUCACUGUGAACUAUGAGAGCAUCAGGGCCUUUUUCAAAGAUGGAUACAAUGAUGAUGGUUUUAAUAAUAAAAAUAUUAACUUAUUGAAUGCUUAAUACGUGUUGAGUACCAUUUUAAACAUGUGAUGCGUAUGAUCUCUUAAAGCCACUUUCAGGUCCUAGGCUGGGUCUUUUGCAGGCACAAUCUCAUUCACGGUGGUAACAACUCAACGCGGAGCUGAUUACACUAGUUCACUCUUCACGAUGUCUCCGGAAGUCCUGCUGCUGCUCUUUUAUUUUGGGAAAAGACACAGAAACCAACACACACACACACACACACACACAUACACACACACACCUUUUUUUUCUUACCCAUUGUAUUGAGAUUUUCCCUAGGGAGGAGCUUUGAAAAUGCCAUUUAUGUGCUCCUCUUGCCCCCGCCCCCCGCCCAUAUCUUUGCAAGGGGAUGAGAAACUCACCAUUAUCGAAGACCAUGCCUGCUGUGAACGAAAGUUCUGAGUCAUGUUCAGCUUUGCAGGCAUACAAGGCUUUCGCCUUCCGGAACGGUGUGCUGUGUGAAAACAGGAGUUUAUUUAA